rnacentral:rRNA from 1 species
UCAGGACGAACGCUGGCGGCGUGCCUAAUACAUGCAAGUCGAGCGGAUUUAUCCUUCGGGAUAAGUUAGCGGCGGACGGGUGAGUAACACGUAGGCAACCUGCCUAUAAGACUGGGAUAACUAUCGGAAACGAUAGCUAAGACCGGAUAACUGAUUUUCUCGCAUGAGAAAAUUAUGAAACACGGAGCAAUCUGUGGCUUAUAGAUGGGCCUGCGGCGCAUUAGCUAGUUGGUAGGGUAACGGCCUACCAAGGCGACGAUGCGUAGCCGACCUGAGAGGGUGAACGGCCACACUGGGACUGAGACACGGCCCAGACUCCUACGGGAGGCAGCAGUAGGGAAUCUUCCGCAAUGGACGCAAGUCUGACGGAGCAACGCCGCGUGAGUGAUGAAGGUUUUCGGAUCGUAAAGCUCUGUUGCCCUAGACGAACAGCAAGAGGAGUAACUGCCUUUUGUGUGACGGUAUAGGAGAAGAAAGCCCCGGCUAACUACGUGCCAGCAGCCGCGGUAAUACGUAGGGGGCAAGCGUUGUCCGGAAUUAUUGGGCGUAAAGCGCGCGCAGGCGGUCAAUUAAGUUGGGUGUUUAAGCCCGGGGCUCAACCCCGGUUCGCAUCCAAAACUGGUCGACUUGAGUGUAGGAGAGGAAAGUGGAAUUCCACGUGUAGCGGUGAAAUGCGUAGAGAUGUGGAGGAACACCAGUGGCGAAGGCGACUUUCUGGCCUAUAACUGACGCUGAGGCGCGAAAGCGUGGGGAGCAAACAGGAUUAGAUACCCUGGUAGUCCACGCCGUANACGAUGCAUACUANGUGUCGGGGGAUCGAUUCCUCGGUGCCGAAGUAACACAGUAAGUAUGCCGCCUGGGGAGUACGCUCGCAAGAAGUGAACUCAAAG